rnacentral:tRNA from 6 species
GGGCCGGUAGCUCAAUGGUAGAGCAAUGGACUCUUAAUCCAUCGGUUCUGGGUUCAAAUCCCAGCCGGCUCA